GCCCUAUUGGUCACCUGUCACCAGAGGCAGUUCAACCACCAGGCCAACUAGGCAGUUGCCUGUGGCGCCAUCUUGUUGGGGGCACCAUCGAGGCAACUCCUGUCUCCUGCGGCCUGCCUCCGCAAGAUUCUCCAAGAAUUCCAAAUGAAUUCCAUACCUCAUUUCUAGAACUCCCCAAGUCAGCAUAACCACUAUUCAUUCUGGAUGGAGGAUUCAGGAAACUGUAAUUCAAAAGAAAAACUUAUCAAAGCUUUGAAAGAGAGGAUUCUGCUUCACACUUUACACCAUUGGAAGAAUUUUGAAGAAGAAUAUAUGAGUACAAUAAAUGUGAAGGCAUUUGACAAACUGGGAUGUAUGCCAAAGAGGUUGUCUGAGAUGAGGAAGACCAAGAGACCAAGUCCUCUGAGGAAAGAUGGAAGGUGUUUAGUAUGGAGAAAAAUGUGCUGAAGAAGCAAUUGAUAGCUACCUUCAACUGUUUCAAGGGCUUUUGUAGGGACAAUUAAUCAAAUCUGGGUUUUUUCUUACUUCAGAGAGUAGGACCAAAG
rnacentral:lncRNA from 11 species